GCAGGUCUCCGAGCGAUGAGAGGAAAACGGGUGCAAUGCCCGUGCUGUCCCGCAGCCGUAUGUAGUGAGUGUUCUUCCACAGGCGCAGAGCCUGUGCCUGUUAAAGUCACUGGUGACCAACCGGGAAGGCGGAGGAACGCGCUGAUCUACGAGCCGGAAAGCCUGCUUGCAAU
rnacentral:ncRNA from 1 species